rnacentral:rRNA from 1 species
UACGUAGGGGGCAAGCGUUGUCCGGAUUUAUUGGGCGUAAAGAGCGUGUAGGCGGCCAGACAGGUCAGCUGUGAAAACUCGAGGCUCAACCUCGAGACGUCGGUUGAAACCGUUUGGCUAGAGUCCGGAAGAGGAGAGUGGAAUUCCCGGUGUAGCGGUGAAAUGCGCAGAUAUCGGGAAGAACACCCGUGGCGAAGGCGGUUCUCUGGGACGGUACUGACGCUGAGACGCGAAAGCGUGGGGAGCGAACAGG